UACGUAGGGGGCAAGCGUUGUCCGGAAUUAUUGGGCGUAAAGAGCGUGUAGGCGGCCAGAUAAGUCCGCUGUGAAAUCUCGAGGCUCAACUUCGAGCUGUCGGUGGAAACUAUCUGGCUAGAGUCCGGAAGAGGAGAAUGGAAUUCCUGGUGUAGCGGUGAAAUGCGCAGAUAUCAGGAAGAACACCAACGGCGAAGGCAGCUCGCUGGGACGGUACUGACGCUGAGACGCGAAAGCGUGGGGAGCGAACAGG
rnacentral:rRNA from 1 species